rnacentral:tRNA from 1 species
GCCUGGGUGGCUCAGUUGGUUAAGCGUCUGACUUCUGCUCAGGUCAUGAUCUCACAGUUCAUAAGUUCGAGUCCCAUGUCAGGCU